rnacentral:RNase_P_RNA from 1 species
GGCGGAGGAGAUGAGGAAAGUCCGGGCAGCGCAGGGCAUCGUCCUUUCUAACGGAAAGCCGCGGGCGACCGCGGAGCAAGCGUGACAGAAAACAACCGCCCCCACGCGGGGCAAGGGUGAAAAGGCGGGGUAAGAGCCCACCGGGUUCCGCCGCGAGACGGAGCGCCGCACGCCUGACGAGCUGCAAGGCCAAGUAUACCGGCAUUCAAGGAUUGCCCGUCCAUUGCCGGGGGGUAGGCUGCUUUAGCGCGCCUGGCAACAGGCCGCAUAGAUAAAUGACGGGACGGGCCUUCAGGGUCGCCACCCCCUACGGGGGAGGAGAGAAACCGGAAGCCCGACAUAACCCGGCUUACAGCCCGGCUGC